GAUGAACGCUGGCGGCGUGCCUAAUACAUGCAAGUCGAGCGAACGGACGAGAAGCUUGCUUCUCUGAUGUUAGCGGCGGACGGGUGAGUAACACGUGGAUAACCUACCUAUAAGACUGGGAUAACUUCGGGAAACCGGAGCUAAUAACGGAUAAUAUUUUGAACCGCAUGGUUCAAAAGUGAAAGACGGUCUUGCUGUCACUUAUAGAUGGAUCCGCGCUGCAUUAGCUAGUUGGUAAGGUAACGGCUUACCAAGGCAACGAUGCAUAGCCGACCUGAGAGUGUGAUCGGCCACCCUGGAACUGAGACACGGUCCAGACUCCUACAGGAUGCAGCAGUAGGGAAUCUUCCGCAAUGGGCGAAAGCCUGACGGAGCAACGCCGCGUGAGUGAUGAAGGUCUUCGGAUCGUAAAACUCUGUUAUUAGGGAAGAACAUAUGUGUAAGUAACUGUGCACAUCUUGACGGUACCUAAUCAGAAAGCCACGGCUAACUACGUG
rnacentral:rRNA from 1 species